AGAGUUUGAUCAUGGCUCAGAACGAACGCUGGCGGCGUGGAUAAGACAUGCAAGUCGAGCGGGAUACAAGUUGCAGCAAUGUAGCUUGUGUUCAGCGGCGCAAGGGUGCGUAACACGUGGGCAAUUUGCCAUGAAGUUUGGGAUAAUCCCGCGAAAGCGGGACUAAUACCGGAUGUGAUCUUUGGGAGGCAUCUCCUGGAGCUUAAAGUUGGGGACCGCAAGGCCUGACGCUUCAUGAUAAGCCCGCGGCCUAUCAGCUAGUUGGUGAGGUAACGGCUCACCAAGGCUGAGACGGGUAGCUGGUCUGAGAGGACGACCAGCCACACUGGAACUGAGACACGGUCCAGACACCUACGGGUGGCAGCAGUCGAGAAUUUUUCACAAUGGGCGAAAGCCUGAUGGAGCGACGCCGCGUGGGGGAUGAAUGGCUUCGGCCCGUAAACCCCUGUCAUUUGCGAACAAACCUUGUUCAUGAACAAUGAACGAGCUGAUUGUAGCGGAAGAGGAAGGGACGGCUAACUCUGUGCCAGCAGCCGCGGUAAUACAGAGGUCCCAAGCGUUGUUCGGAUUCACUGGGCGUAAAGGGUGCGUAGGUGGUGAGGAAAGUCGGAUGUGAAAUCUCCGGGCUCAACCCGGAAAUGGCAUUGGAAACUACCUUGCUUGAGGUUUUGAGGGGGGACUGGAAUUCUCGGUGUAGCAGUGAAAUGCGUAGAUAUCGAGAGGAACACCAGUGGCGAAGGCGAGUCCCUGGAAAACACCUGACACUGAGGCACGAAAGCUAGGGGAGCAAACAGGAUUAGAUACCCUAGUAGUCC
rnacentral:rRNA from 1 species